CCUACGGGUGGCAGCAGUGAGGAAUAUUGGUCAAUGGACGAGAGUCUGAACCAGCCAAGUAGCGUGAAGGAUGACUGCCCUAUGGGUUGUAAACUUCUUUUAUAUGGGAAUAAAACGUUCCACGUGUGGGAUUUUGUAUGUACCAUAUGAAUAAGGAUCGGCUAACUCCGUGCCAGCAGCCGCGGUAAUACGGAGGGUCCGAGCGUUAUCCGGAUUUAUUGGGUUUAAAGGGUGCGUAGGUGGAUUGUUAAGUCAGUUGUGAAAGUUUGCGGCUCAACCGUAAAAUUGCAGUUGAAACUGGCAGUCUUGAGUACAGUAGAGGUGGGCGGAAUUCGUGGUGUAGCGGUGAAAUGCUUAGAUAUCACGAAGAACUCCGAUUGCGAAGGCAGUUCACUGGACUGCAACUGACACUGAGGCUCGAAAGUGUGGGUAUCAAACAGGAUUAGAUACCCCUGUAGUC
rnacentral:rRNA from 1 species